GACGAACGCUGGCGGCGUGCUUAACACAUGCAAGUCGAACGGAAAGGCCCUGCUUGCAGGGUGCUCGAGUGGCGAACGGGUGAGUAACACGUGGGUGAUCUGCCCCUUACUUUGGGAUAAGCCUGGGAAACUGGGUCUAAUACUGGAUAGGACCAUGCUGUAGGUGGUGUGGUGGAAAGAUUAGUUUCGGUAAGGGAUGAGCUCGCGGCCUAUCAGCUUGUUGGUGGGGUAAUGGCCUACCAAGGCGUCGACGGGUAGCCGGCCUGAGAGGGUGGACGGCCACAUUGGGACUGAGAUACGGCCCAGACUCCUACGGGGGGCAGCAGUGGGGAAUAUUGCACCAUGGGCGCAAGCCUGAUGCAGCGACGCCGCGUGGGGGAUGACGGCCUUCGGGUUGUAAACUCCUUUCAGCCAUGACGAAGCCUUCGGGUGACGGUAGUGGUAGAAGAAGCACCGGCUAACUACGUG
rnacentral:rRNA from 1 species